rnacentral:tRNA from 1 species
CGUUGAGAAGCUAUGAACCAGCACUAGCCUUUUAAGCUAGAGAAAGAGGAAGUACUCCCCCCUCCUUAACGA